UUUGCCGUAACGCACACGGCUAUGAUAAAAACAAAAGGUUUUUGUAUUGUUUGAAGUGAUCAGAAGAAAAUUUGUUUUACAUUUUGAGGGAAAUUUCAAUACACAAAAUGUAGUAGCACUUUCCAAAAAUGUGCUUGCUUUAAACGCAUUUUCUUCUGAAGGCAAGAAAAUCAUGAUUUUUGUUUACUUUGAAAUAAUACCAAAUUGAUUUGUAAUCGUUUAACUUGAUCAUUUGAUGACUUUUGAUUGCAGAAAAUGGUCAGAUAAUUAUGUUGCUACCAAUUAAUUAAUAAUGUUUAAAUUCCAGAAACACAUCUUUCAGUGCACAUUGAAUUCUUUUUAAACAGCCAAACAUAUAAUUGGGGCUGGUAUAGCUAUACGGUAUGGGUUUGUCUCAUGGUUGAUGUCGUACGGUUGCUUAUAAUUGCUUACAUCCAUUUCAAUUAAUCUUGGUGGAUAUUUGUCUCAUUAGCAAUCAUACCAUAUCUUAAAUGAUCAUGUAACCAAAUACUUAAUUUGCUGAGCAGUAUUAUGUUGAAUGCAUUUUAAUUCAUUGCGUCAAUAAAUUGCUUUAAAAACUUAAAUAUCACAUACUUUUAUGUUCUCUUUUUCAGCUUAUAUUUAUAGUACUGAUCGUGGAUUUCCUUCCACUAUGUGUAAGCUUAGUAUUUCAAAAUGCUGAAGAAGAACGGCCAAAUUUGUUAGUAAUUGAAGACGAUGCCUGAGAAACUUUUAUAGGAAACUUUUUUGGAAACGGCUUUGGAUCUAUUUUUUCCCUACUUUUUUUCCAAUCUUUGAUUACGGUACCUAUGAUGGCUAUGAUGGGAAUGAUGAUUCCCAGUACAACAACUAGUGUCAGUCAGGUAACUUUGACUCCAACAAUGCAAGCCUUAUCAACAACGCAAACCUCAUCAACAACAAAUACACCAUGUAUUCAAACAAAUUGCCCUAAUGGUUAUGUGUUGCUUACUGACCAAAAUGCUAGCCCUAAUUGUUACCUGUAUAGUG